AGUGCACAAGAAGAUGAUGCACAGAAGGUUGAUGUACAACCUGAAACAAAGAAAAAAGGAACAAGAGUCAAAACUAUUCCAAAUCGAAACAGAACAAGAUUACAGCAAUAUAAGGAAGAAUUCCCUCAGACGAUGAAAGAGGUCAAGGAGGAAUUUGAAGCUCUAGAAAAGAAAAAAUCUGCCCCAGUGAAUAAGAAGCGCAAAGGAACUUCUAAGGGAAAAGAGAUUGUUCUUCGUGAAGAUUAUGAAGAAGAUGAAGAAGAAGUGGAAGAAGAA